rnacentral:tRNA from 3 species
GUCCCGUUCGUCUAGAGGCCUAGGACACCGCCCUUUCACGGCGGUAACACGAGUUCGAAUCUCGUACGGGACGCCA